AUGUUUCUAUUUAAAGUUCUAGAGAGGCUCCUCCUUUUUUCUAGAAAACUUUCUUCCAAACCUUUAGGGUUUGGUGGUUACCUCCCACCUCUAUGGUGGUCCUCUUCCAUCUUUAUGGUGGUCACCUCUUCUUUUGAGAGCAAUUUUCUCUUCAUUCAUCUUUGUCAUCAUGUCUUCACCACAACCAAGCCUCUCACUGAACACCCCCAUUCUCCACCAUGA